AUGGCCGAAUGCUUCAAUAGGGUGCUCAAAGGUGCACAUGGAUUACCCGUGACGGCAAUAGUUCAAUACACAUUUGACAAGAUGAAUGCGUACUUUGUAAAGUACUCGAUGGAACCCGAUGCACAGAUAGCAGGUGAGAACCCACGGAAGUACAAGUACAAGUUCCCACCCAAAGUUGAUGAAUGGUUGCUAUUUCAAUCACGGAAGGCGGACUCGGAAGAAGCUAUAUUAUAUGACAAUGAAGAGUGGAAGUACGAAGUGAAAGAGCCAGGAGGAACCACAAACGAUGGCCGGCAACAUGGAGGUCGGGCUUUCAAGGUGUCGUUAACACAAUGUGAUUGCACUUGCGGGAGGCCAUUAUUGCUUCAUCUCCCAUGCUCACAUUUGUAUGCCGCCGGCCGCGUUAGGAAUGUGGACAUCAAUCACCCACGCACCGUGAGGGAGUCGGAGUUCUCAAUCAUGACGGUCAAGAAAACAUGGGCUCCCCGCUUUCACCCAUACUUUGACCAAUCACAAUGGCCGGAGUAUCAUGGAGUUCAACUAUGGCCGGAUCCG
rnacentral:rRNA from 1 species